UAUAAUGAUGAGAAAUCAAAAAGAAAGCUGGAAUUACCUACUGAAUCUCUUUGAUUGAUAAAUUUUUGCACCUUCGCUGAUA
rnacentral:snoRNA from 1 species